GGUUAAGCGACUAAGCGUACACGGUGGAUGCCCUGGCAGUCAGAGGCGAUGAAGGACGUGCUAAUCUGCGAUAAGCGUCGGUAAGGUGAUAUGAACCGUUAUAACCGGCGAUUUCCGAAUGGGGAAACCCAGUGUGAUUCGUCACACUAUCAUUACGUGAAUACAUAGCGUAAUGAAGCGAACCGGGGGAACUGAAACAUCUAAGUACCCCGAGGAAAAGAAAUCAACCGAGAUUCCCCCAGUAGCGGCGAGCGAACGGGGAGCAGCCCAGAGUCUGAAUCAGCUUGUGUGUUAGUGGAACGGUCUGGAAAGUCCGACGGUACAGGGUGAUAGUCCCGUACACCAAAAUGCACAGGUUGUGAACUCGAAGAGUAGGGCGGGACACGUGGUAUCCUGUCUGAAUAUGGGGGGACCAUCCUCCAAGGCUAAAUACUCCUGACUGACCGAUAGUGAACCAGUACCGUGAGGGAAAGGCGAAAAGAACCCCGGCGAGGGGAGUGAAAAAGAACCUGAAACCGUGUACGUACAAGCAGUGGGAGCAUCCUUUUGGGUGUGACUGCGUACCUUUUGUAUAAUGGGUCAGCGACUUAUAUUCUGUAGCAAGGUUAACCGUAUAGGGGAGCCGAAGGGAAACCGAGUCUUAACUGGGCGUUAAGUUGCAGGGUAUAGACCCGAAACCCGGUGAUCUAGCCAUGGGCAGGUUGAAGGUUGGGUAACACUAACUGGAGGACCGAACCGACUAAUGUUGAAAAAUUAGCGGAUGACUUGUGGCUGGGGGUGAAAGGCCAAUCAAACCGGGAGAUAGCUGGUUCUCCCCGAAAGCUAUUUAGGUAGCGCCUCGUGAACUCAUCUUCGGGGGUAGAGCACUGUUUCGGCUAGGGGGUCAUCCCGACUUACCAACCCGAUGCAAACUGCGAAUACCGAAGAAUGUUAUCACGGGAGACACACGGCGGGUGCUAACGUCCGUCGUGAAGAGGGAAACAACCCAGACCGCCAGCUAAGGUCCCAAAGUCAUGGUUAAGUGGGAAACGAUGUGGGAAGGCACAGACAGCCAGGAUGUUGGCUUAGAAGCAGCCAUCAUUUAAAGAAAGCGUAAUAGCUCACUGGUCGAGUCGGCCUGCGCGGAAGAUGUAACGGGGCUAAACCAUGCACCGAAGCUGCGGCAGCGACACUAUGUGUUGUUGGGUAGGGGAGCGUUCUGUAAGCCGUUGAAGGUGUAUCGUGAGGUAUGCUGGAGGUAUCAGAAGUGCGAAUGCUGACAUAAGUAACGAUAAUGCGGGUGAAAAACCCGCACGCCGGAAGACCAAGGGUUCCUGUCCAACGUUAAUCGGGGCAGGGUGAGUCGACCCCUAAGGCGAGGCCGAAAGGCGUAGUCGAUGGGAAACAGGUUAAUAUUCCUGUACUUGGUGUUACUGCGAAGGGGGACGGAGAAGGCUAUGUUAGCCGGGCGACGGUUGUCCCGGUUUAAGCAUGUAGGCGGAGGUUCCAGGUAAAUCCGGUACCUUUUUAACGCUGAGGUGUGAUGACGAGGCACUACGGUGCUGAAGUAACAAAUGCCCUGCUUCCAGGAAAAGCCUCUAAGCAUCAGGUAACACGAAAUCGUACCCCAAACCGACACAGGUGGUCAGGUAGAGAAUACCAAGGCGCUUGAGAGAACUCGGGUGAAGGAACUAGGCAAAAUGGUGCCGUAACUUCGGGAGAAGGCACGCUGAUAUGUAGGUGAAGUGAUUUACUCAUGGAGCUGAAAUCAGUCGAAGAUACCAGCUGGCUGCAACUGUUUAUUAAAAACACAGCACUGUGCAAACACGAAAGUGGACGUAUACGGUGUGACGCCUGCCCGGUGCCGGAAGGUUAAUUGAUGGGGUUAUCCGUAAGGAGAAGCUCUUGAUCGAAGCCCCGGUAAACGGCGGCCGUAACUAUAACGGUCCUAAGGUAGCGAAAUUCCUUGUCGGGUAAGUUCCGACCUGCACGAAUGGCGUAAUGAUGGCCAGGCUGUCUCCACCCGAGACUCAGUGAAAUUGAACUCGCUGUGAAGAUGCAGUGUACCCGCGGCAAGACGGAAAGACCCCGUGAACCUUUACUAUAGCUUGACACUGAACACUGGUCCUUGAUGUGUAGGAUAGGUGGGAGGCUUUGAAGUGUGGACGCCAGUCUGCAUGGAGCCAUCCUUGAAAUACCACCCUUUAAUGGCUGGUGUUCUAACGUGGACCCGUAAUCCGGGUUGCGGACAGUGUCUGGUGGGUAGUUUGACUGGGGCGGUCUCCUCCUAAAGAGUAACGGAGGAGCACGAAGGUUAGCUAAUCCUGGUCGGACAUCAGGAGGUUAGUGCAAAGGCAUAAGCUAGCUUGACUGCGAGAGUGACGGCUCGAGCAGGUGCGAAAGCAGGUCUUAGUGAUCCGGUGGUUCUGAAUGGAAGGGCCAUCGCUCAACGGAUAAAAGGUACUCCGGGGAUAACAGGCUGAUACCGCCCAAGAGUUCAUAUCGACGGCGGUGUUUGGCACCUCGAUGUCGGCUCAUCACAUCCUGGGGCUGAAGUAGGUCCCAAGGGUAUGGCUGUUCGCCAUUUAAAGUGGUACGCGAGCUGGGUUUAGAACGUCGUGAGACAGUUCGGUCCCUAUCUGCCGUGGGCGCUGGAGAAUUGAGGGGGGCUGCUCCUAGUACGAGAGGACCGGAGUGGACGCAUCACUGGUGUUCGGGUUGUCAUGCCAAUGGCAUUGCCCGGUAGCUAAAUGCGGAAGAGAUAAGUGCUGAAAGCAUCUAAGCACGAAACUUGCCCCGAGAUGAGUUCUCCCUGAGACUUUAAGUCUCCUGAAGGAACGUUGAAGACGACGACGUUGAUAGGUCGGGUGUGUAAGCGUAGCGAUACGUUGAGCUAACCGAUACUAAUGAACCGUGAGGCUUAACCUU
rnacentral:rRNA from 1 species